ACGGAGGAUGCAAGCGUUAUCCGGAAUUAUUGGGUUUAAAGAGCACGCAGGCGGUUUAUUAAGUUAGAUGUGAAAGUUUUCAGCUUAACUGGAAAAGUGCAUUUAAAACUGGUAGACUUGAGUCUCGGAGAGGUAAGCGGAAUUCCUAGUGUAGCGGUGAAAUGCGUAGAGAUUAGGCAGAACACCGGUGGCGAAGGCAGCUUACUGGACGAGUACUGACGCUCAGGUGCGAAAGCGUGGGGAGCAAACAG
rnacentral:rRNA from 1 species